GGGCGUUGGUAGGGUCGGCCAGCGGCCGGCUUGGCCGGGCGGAGGGUUCCCGCCCUGGUGGCAGCUGGUGACCACCCACGAUCUCUCCCUUAGCACAGAGGUGAUGAUGGCGUUCCUCCGCACUGAGGCCAAAGUGGAUGGAAGUCUGGAGACAGAAGGGAAAAGCCCUAGAUGACAACUGGGAAGCAAGCACAUGGCUCCGUCCUUGCAGAGCAACCAGAAGCCUGAGCUUUCCCUGAACAGGAGGAAGCUUUGGAGAUACAUUUUCAGACUCCUGGUCGCAUAGCAGGUCCUCCUCUGCCUUCUGCGUCUUUCCUGAUUCCCUCCCUUUUCGCUCCUGUCCGGGCACACACUGGCACUCCAUUCCACCAUCCUUCAGGGCGAUGCCUUUGGUGAAUCUGUCUCUAGAAUGCCUUUUCCCAUCCUAUUACCGAGCUGCAACAGCGCACAGCCUGGAGAUCCUCACAGGGCCACCUCGAAAGCCACGCUUCUGUGCUCCCUUCAGAGGCUCACGGUCAUUUCCAUGUUUGUAUGAUUGUCCCUUUGUGCGUCUCUCACUCC